GCGGAAGGAUCAUUACUGAGAGUACCGGGCUCUGCCUGGCUACUUUUACCCAUGUUUUUAGAGUACCAAAAGUUUCCUCGGCGGCUCUGCCCGCCGGUCGGACUCCAUUCAAACCCUUUGCAGUUGCAGUCAGCGUCUGAUAAACAAAAUAAUUACAACUUUCAACAACGGAUCUCUUGGUUCUGGCAUCGAUGAAGAACGCAGCGAAAUGCGAUAAGUAGUGUGAAUUGCAGAAUUCAGUGAAUCAUCGAAUCUUUGAACGCACAUUGCACCUCUCGGUAUUCCGGGAGGUAUGCCUGUUCGAGCGUCAUUUGUACCCUCAAGCUCUGCUUGGUGUUGGGUGUUUGUUCCGCCUUUGCGUGUGAACUCGCCCUAAAACAAUUGGCAGCCGGCGUACUUGUUUCGGAGCGCAGCACAUUUUGCGUUCAGAUCAGUGUACACUGGCACCCAAGAAGCCUUAUUUUAACGCUCUUGACCUCGGAUCAGGUAGGGAUACCCGCUGAACUUAAGCAUAUCAAUA
rnacentral:rRNA from 1 species